UGACAGAAAAGGUGGAGCCUCGAAGGUUU
rnacentral:piRNA from 1 species